rnacentral:tRNA from 1 species
GGGGGUAUAGCUCAGCGUUAGAGCCUUCGACUGCAGAUCGAGAGUUCCCCGGUUCAAACCAGGAUGCUCCCU